GUGAGUCAUCGAAUCUUUGAACGCACCUUGCACUCCUUGGUAUUCCGAGGAGCAUGCCUGUUCGAGUGUCAUGAAACUCUCAAACCGCAUCUUUAUUGAUGUCGGGCUUGGACUUGGACGUUGCUGGGCUGACGCUCGGCUCGUCUCAAAUGCAUUAGCUGACUCUCCCGACUUCAGUUUUCGGCGUGAUAAUCACAUCUACGUCGAUGCCGCGAGGCGCUGGACCGGGGAUCAAACGGCUUCUAACCGUCCCUCACAAGGACAAUUUUCAUCUCAUUUGGCCUCGAAUCAGGUAGGACU
rnacentral:misc_RNA from 1 species